rnacentral:rRNA from 1 species
AACGAACGCUGGCGGCAUGCCUAACACAUGCAAGUCGAACGAGACCUUCGGGUCUAGUGGCGCACGGGUGCGUAACGCGUGGGAAUCUGCCCUUCGGUUGGGAAUAACUGAGAGAAAUUUCAGCUAAUACCUUAUAAUGUCUUCGGACCAAAGAUUUAGCGCCGAGGGAUGAGCCCGCGUAGGAUUAGGUAGUUGGUGGGGUAAUGGCCUACCAAGCCGACGAUCCUUAGCUGGUCUGAGAGGAUGAUCAGCCACACUGGGACUGAGACACGGCCCAGACUCCUACGGGAGGCAGCAGUGGGGAAUAUUGGACACUGGGCGAAAGCCUGAUCCAGCAAUGCCGCGUGAGUGAUGAAGGCCUUAGGGUUGUAAAGCUCCUUUACCCGGGAUGAUAAUGACAGUACCGGGAGAAUAAGCUCCGGCUAACUCCGUG